CCGGCCGCCACCGGCGCUUGCAAAGUUCGGAUCCGCCAGGACCGGGCCAGCGGGACGUCCGCGUGGCAGGGUGCACUUUCUCCGCGGUCGAGUGCUACGACCGGUUUCGCGGCGGUCAGAAGCCCGGCGGAAAGGUAGCGCCGCCCCUCGGGGUGUCGUGUUAUAGGCCGCCGCGGUGGACUCGCCGCGAGACCGAGGACGCUUGCCGCGCCGAGCGGUCCCGGGCCGUCUUGGGAGGUUCGACCUCGGCUGCACUGCUCCGCAGAGCACCGUAACCGCCGCCCUAGCACGGGUCCGGAGACUGCCGGCGCCUCGGGUCAGUAGCG
rnacentral:rRNA from 1 species